UACGGGGGGGGCAAGCGUUGUUCGGAAUUACUGGGCGUAAAGGGCUCGUAGGCGGCCAACUAAGUCGGACGUGAAAUCCCCAGGCUCAACCUGGGAACUGCGUCCGAUACUGGAUGGCUUGAAUCCGGGAGAGGGAUGCAGAAUUCCAGGUGUAGCGGUGAAAUGCGUAGAUAUCUGGAGGAAUACCGGUGGCGAAGGCGGCAUCCUGGACCGGCAUUGACGCUGAGAAGCGAAAGCCAGGGGAGCAAACGGG
rnacentral:rRNA from 1 species